UAGCUGUCAGUAGUCGUCCUGCGCCCCCCAUGUUUGGACUCUAGUAGUGCCAUGUAUUUUCUUCCCAAGACCUACGAUGGAGAAAAAAGGCUUGGUCAUCAGCAGUGGUGGAACAUAACUGAACAACAGAUAUGCAGCCAAGGCGAUGUGGCAAGCAGUUACACCCGAGCUACAGGAGACCCAGAAGGGCUUCUGAAGGU